AGUUAAAAUUUUCAUUUAUUUGUUUUGUUAAAAAUUGAUGUGAGUGGUGGAAAAAUCAGAUAGUAAUAUAUGCCUCAUGUUGACCUACAAAAAUUAAUUUUUAACAAUAGAAAUGAAUGAAAUUUUUAAUA
rnacentral:pre_miRNA from 1 species